GACGAACGCUGGCGGCGUGCCUAACACAUGCAAGUCGAGCGAUGAAGCUCCUUCGGGAGUGGAAUAGCGGCGGACGGGUGAGGAACACGUGGGUAACCUGCCUCAUAGAGGGGAAUAGCCUUUCGAAAGGGAGAUUAAUACCGCAUAACAUAACUUUAUCGCAUGGUAGAGUUAUCAAAGGAGCAAUCCGCUAUGAGAUGGACCCGCGGCGCAUUAGCUAGUUGGUGAGGUAACGGCUCACCAAGGCGACGAUGCGUAGCCGACCUGAGAGGGGGAUCGGCCACAUUGGAACUGAGACACGGUCCAGACUCCUACGGGAGGCAGCAGUGGGGAAUAUUGCGCAAUGGGGGAAACCCUGACGCAGCAACGCCGCGUGAGUGAAGAAGGCCUUAGGGUUGUAAAGCUCUGUCAUAUGGGAAGAUAAUGACGGUACCAUAAGAGGAAGCCACGGCUAACUACGUGCCAGCCGCCGCCGUAA
rnacentral:rRNA from 1 species